GGGCCCGUAGCCUAGUACGGAUUAAGGCGCCGGCCUUCGGAGCCGGAGAUCUGAAAACAGACCGGACACCCAGGGUUCAAAUCCCUGCGGGCCCG
rnacentral:tRNA from 1 species